CAUUGGAAGAAUUGAAUAUAGAGCUUAUGGCUCACAAAGCCUAAGAGCUGGCUCUUUACAAAUGUUGUCCAUUUCUCUCAUCAUGAGAAUAACAUUUGUUCCUCGGUGUACCUACUUGUGUGGACAUCAGUGAGCCAGAACAUUAGCUUCAAAGCAGCUUAGGAAUGGGAGGCAGCAUGGAUAUGUAUAGCUGCCCUGCUGCCAUCUGGGAGCACCUCGUAUAUAAGUUCUAAUAA
rnacentral:lncRNA from 1 species